CAGGCCUCCGGGCCGCGAAGUCGCAGCGCCAGACCCAAGGCCCCCGAGUGAGCGCGGGCGCCGAGGCAAGCCGGUAUAUUCGGGGCCCAGGAGCAAGGAAAAGUGGCCUUUUGCGUGACACAGAAGUGGACACAUCAUUCUGAUCUCAGGGCAGGCUCAGCCCCAUAACUCUGGCAAAAGCUCUCACAAGCAAAAGCCUUGGAGAGGAGGAGAAUGUAUCAAGGUGAGAUCCAGGCCCCAGAAGCCAACUGUGGAGUGGGCAAAAUAGGACCUUUCCCACCAGCCUAGCAUCCCUCUGGCUUCUGUGGAGAUAAAGGGAACUCAGGGGUACUGGAGCUGCCUUUCUCUUCCACUAGACUGUGGGGCUCUCAUAGGCAGGGACCCUGUCUUACUCCUCUUUGUUUUAUUUUUGAGACAGGGUCUUGCUGUGUGGCCCAGGCUGGAGUGCCUUGGCACAAACACAGCUCACUUCAGCCUCAACCUCCAGGGCUCAAGCGAUCCUCCAGCAUCAGUCUCCUGAGUAGCUGGGAUCACAGGCGCCCGACACCACACGUAGCUAAUUUUAAAUUUUUUUUUUUUUCUAGAGACAGGGGUCUUGCCAUGGCUGGUCUUGAAGUCCUGGGCUCAAGCGAUCCUCCCUCUUUGGCCUCCCAAAGUGCUGGGAUUACAGGAGUGAGUCACUGCACCCAGCCUUACUCCUCUUUAGACUCCCAAGCCUAGACCAAUUGCUUUCAAAUUCUUGCCCGUGACCUAUAGUAAGAAAUACAUCGUAGGUAACUACACAGGUCACACUGUAUAUAGCUGAAACAAAAGUUUACUGAAAUAACUCCCUUACUGUGUCUGCUGGUCUGUAAUCCUUUUUGUUCUUGUGUAUUUGUUUUUUUUUUAAUUACUGAUUGCUACCCACGAAAUUAAUUUUGCAAUCCACUGAUGGGUCAUACCCAGAAUUUGAAAAAAACAAGCCUAGGAAAUGAAUUUGCCAUCUAUUCAUGCAACAAAUGUUAAUUGCAACCCUAAUAAUUCCUCUCAUGUUAAACUACUCAAGUAACACUUGGAUACUUGGGUGAAAAAUGCAAAUAAGCCAGAAAUAUAUGUAGUAAAAGUAAAAGUUCCCUUGGCACCCUCCCUGCAGGUAACCCCAGUUAAUAGUUUGAACGUAUCCUUCCAGACUUUUUGUUACUCACUUAAUGCAUAUAUAUAUAUAUAUAUAUAUAUAUAUAUAUAUAUGUAUGUAUGUAUGUAUAUUACAUAUACCAAUCCAUGCAUAGUUUUCUUUUUCCCCAAGUGAGGACAUACUGUGGGCUCUUCCUCGGCAGCUUCCUUUUUCCUCUCCGUUUGUCUUGGAGAGGUUGGUUGUGUGGCGAAGUCCUUCAGGGCAAGUUCUGGGUUGACUCCUGGCUCCACCACAUACUGAACAGGCCAUUUACCUCUCUGUGCCUCAGUGUCCCCAUCUUUACAAUCAGGAGAAUAACAGUACAGACCUCACGGUACUGAAGUAAAGAUGCAGUGAGUUAAUCCAUAUGAAGUUUAGAGCAGUGCUUUUGCCAAUAAAUGCUGAUUGCUGCCGUCA
rnacentral:lncRNA from 1 species